UAUAAAGCUAUGAAGAGGACUAGUAGUAAGGAUGUCUGUUUUAGAGAGCGAAUGGUUGGUGGAAAUUCGCACAGAACACUUGUGAACUCACCUUGGAGUUGCAGUUGUGAAACUUUAGUAAUGGCUGCCGUAUUUCUUGCGUUAAAAGAAUGGAGAGGUAAGACUGGUUUUUUGUCUUACAACUAAGGUGGUACCGCGUUUAUGACGUCCUUAGA
rnacentral:ncRNA from 1 species